AUUAUGGGCUGGUUUUUAAAAUUCCAGAGGAACCAGACCCACAUGACGCGUUCGUCCAAUCAGCUGUAGGUUUAAAUUUUUUGGGCAACAACACAGAUUAGUACCGCCUGCUGUUAUGGAGACGUAUUGUGUCUCGCGCACGUGCAGAACGUACACUCAAGUCGACGUCGCUUCGGUGUGUUGCGAGGAACUUUUGUGACCAACUCUGGGAGACUGUCAGUCCUGCUGCCUUUUCUGCCGAAGGUCGGCCGUCGGGUUGGUGCAUCAGAGCCUUAAUCUUACAUCUUAAGCUGCU